rnacentral:lncRNA from 1 species
GACAGCCGUGGGGCAUAAACCCUGCAAAGCCACAGGUGCAGAGCUGCCCAAGGCCUUGGGAGCCCAGCCCUUACAUCCCUGUGCCCUGGAUGUGGGACAAGGUUUCAAAAAGGGUAAUUUUGGAGCUGUAGGAUUGAAUGGCCUUCUGGGUUUGGAGUUUCAUGGGGUCUGUAAGUCCUUUCUGUCUUUUGUUCUUUCUGGCAAAAUUAUUCCUUUUGGCUGGGAAUGCUUACCCAUUGCCUGUAUAAGCAUUGUACCUUGGAAGUAGUUAACUUUCUUUAUAUUUCAGAGGCUCAUGAGCCUAAGGGUCUGCAGCCUUGUGUUAGAUGAGACUUUAAGCUUUGAACAUUUGUAUAAAUGAUGAAAUGAUAUAAGACUUUGGGGGACUGUAGGGAAGCUAUCAUUGUAGUUUGCAAUGUGAGAAGGACAUGAGAUUUGGGGAGCCAGGGACAGAAUAAUAAAAUUUAGCUCUGUGUCCCUACCAAAAUUCGUGUGGAAUUGUAAUGGGGAAUGUUAAAGGUGGGGCCUGGUGGAAAGUGAUUUAAUCAUGGUGGAGUGUGGGGGUUGGGAGGUGGGGGAUAGGGAGAAUUGGGAGAUUAUGUUGGGGGUGAGGGGUGAAAAGUGAUGGUGGCUCCUUCACAAAUGAUUAGACACAAUCUCUUUAUUUCUGUCCUUGUGAUGGUGAGUUCUCUUCAUGAUUUUGGAGCAGUGAGAUUGAAUGGAUACUGGUCUCCUGGGUUUUGGACUUGCAUUGGUCCUGUGGUCCCAUCUGUGUUAUUUUGCUCGGAAAUUUCUUCCUGUUGGACUGAGAAAGCUUACCCAAUGGGUGUACCAUCAUUGUGUCUUAAAAGAACACCCUUUUAAAUUCAGGGACUUAUAGGCAAAAGGGACUGUAGGCUUGUCUCAGAUGAGACGUUGAACCUUUUACAUUUGAGUUAAUGCUGGAAUGAGUUAAGACUUUUGGCAACUUUUGAAAAGGUGUGAUUGUAUUUUGCUCUGUGAGAAGGACAUGAGAUUCGGAAGGGUCAGGGUAAGAAUAACAUGGUUUGGCUGUGUUUCCCUACAGAAACUCAUGUGAAUUGUAAUCUUGAAUGUUGGAGAUGGGGCCUGGUGGAAGGUGAUUUAACCAUGGAUGGGAGGGGGUUGGAGUUGGAAGGAAAUAAAGUGGAUAGUGUUGGGAGGAGUGGGUUGUCAGUAGGGUGGUGAGAGGAUGGUGGGUAUUAGGAAGGGGGAGUAGCCUGCUGCAGAGUCACAUCCUCAUGGAAAACCUCUGCUAGGGCAGUGCUCCUGUGGCUUUGCAGGCUUUAGCCCCCAUGGCUGCUCUCAUGGGCUGGGCUGGUGUUGAGUGCUUUUGCAUACUGAGGGUGCGGGCUGUUGGUGGGCUUAUGAAUCUGGGGUCUGGAGGAUGGUGGCCUCCUGUGUGGGGGCUCCAAGCCCAUAUUUCCCUUCUGCACUGCCAUAGUAGAAGUUUCCCAAGAGGCUCUGCCUCUGCAGGAGGCUUCUGCCUGGAAACAGUAGGCGGUGGUGUGUGUGGUGGAUCCUUCACCAGUGGUUAAUCUUCUUGAUGCUGAUCUGAUAGUGAGUUCUCAUGUGAUCUGGUUGUAUAAUGGGCUGUGGCACCUCUUUUCUCUCUGUGUCUUGCUUCUAUUUCUGCCAUAUGAAACAUCUCAUUGCCACUUGGCCUUCUGAUGUGGUUAGGAGGGGCCUGCCUGAUCAGUGUGGGCCUGCUCAGUGGACCUAGUCAGUUGGGACUUGGUCAGUGAGGCCUGUUUAGUGGGAACCUGGCCAGCAGGGGUCUGCUUAGGGAGGGUCUCAUUAGGGGGAUCCAGUAGUGGGGGUUUUGGCAAGUGGGGACCUACUGGCAGCCAGUUGCUUGGUGUCUGGUCAGUGCAGACCUAGGCUGUGGGGCUUGACCGGUGGCGACCUGGUCAGCUGGGCUUAGUGGUGGCCUGGUCAGCAUGGGCUGGGUCACUGGUGACCAGGUCAAGGGGUGCUAUUCAGUGGAGGACUGGUCACAUGGGACCUAGUCAGCAGGGCCUGGUGGGCGUGUCCUCAUCAGUGAGUCCCUUGUCAGUGGGGCCCUGAUCAGGGCAGCCUGGUCAGUGGAACCUCAUCAGUGGGGGCCUGGUCAGUGAUGACUUGGUCAGUGGUGGCUUUUGUACCACUGGUCUACGGGGUGACCCGGUCAGCGGGGACCUGAGUAGUCGGUGCCUGUUCAGUGGGGCCUACUCACUAGGGUCCCAGUCAGGGGCAUCUGGUCACCUCAGGCCUGGUUAGUAGGGGCCUGAUCAGUGGCAGCCUGUUCCCUGGAGGCCUGGUCAGUGGGGCCUCAUCUGUGGGUCCAGGUAGUGGGGUCAUGAUCAGUGGAAUCUGAUCAGUGAGGCCUUGUCAGUAAUGACCUAGUCAGUGAGGCCUUGUCAGUAAGGACCUGGUCCUUGAGGCCUUGCCAGUGAGGCCUUGUCAGUAAGGUCCUGGUCACUGAGGCCUUGUCAAUAAGGACCUUGUCAGUGAGGCCUUGUCAGUGGGGCCUUGUCAGUAAGGACCUGGUCAGUGAGGCCUUGUCAAUAAGGUCCUGGUCAGUGAGGUCUUCUCAGUUAGGACCUGGUCCAUGAGGCCUUGUCAGUGGGGCCUUGUCAGUAAGGACCUGGUCCGUGAGGCCUUGUCAAUAAGGUCCUGGUCCGUGAGGCCUUGUCAAUAAGGUCCUGGUCUGUGAGGCCUUGUCAGUAAGGACCUGGUCCGUGAGGCCUUGUCAGUAAGGACCUGGUCCGUGAGGCCUUGUCAGUAAGGACCUGGUCAGUGAGGAAUUGUCAGUAAGGAGCUCAUCCAUGAGGCCUUGUCAGUGAGGCCUUGUCAAUAAGGUCCUGGUCAGUGAGGCCUUGUUAGUAAGGACUUUGUCAGUGAGGCCUGGUCAGUAAGGACCUGGUCAGUGAGGCCUUGUCAGGGAGGCCUGGUCAGUAAGGUCCUGUUCAGUGAGGCCUUGUCCGUGAGGCUUUGUCAGUAAGGUCCUGGUCAGUGGAGUCAUGGUCAUUGUUGGCCUGGCAGCGGGGGUCUUGUUAGUGGGUCCUGGUGAUGGGGGUCUAAUCAGUGAGGGUGUGGUCAGGGAAGACCUGAUGUGUGGGGUCUGGUCAGCAGGAACCUGGUCAGUGGGGACUGCUGAGCGCUGCUUGGAGAAGCCAGGUGCAUUGCACGUUAUCGAGGGCCCUCUGGACAGCUGGGAUGGCCCAGUGAUGCCCAAUGGCCCGGUCAAAAGUAGACAAAGCAGUUGUUUGGAUGGACCUGGGAGAUGUUGCUCAGAGAUUCUGACAGGACAAAGGUGAAGAAAGGGUCAGAGUGGCUGGAGAGAUGGUCACAGUCUAUGGGCUGCACAGGAUGGAGAAAGCCAGGGAACAGGGAGGGUGGGCAGUGCGGUGCAGGGAGAGGCAGGUGCAUGGUGGGACGUCAGACCCUGUGAAGGCUGUGAGGGUGUCAGGUGGGUUGGGCUCCAGGUGCACCCUCAGUGCACUGGGUGGGUAUCACCCCAAGCUCCCUGGACCCCAGCCAGGUGAUGUGGUCACUCCCUGGGGGACUGCUCUCAGGUCCCGGCUACCUACCCUGGGCAGCGCUGUCCCAUCUCAGGACUGGACUUUCUCAGAUCCUGUAGAGGGCACAGACUCCACCCAGGAGGGGCAACCGCAUGGUGCAGCCUGAGCUCUCCAUGGGCCUGGAGCAUCCCCUGCCAGCCUUGUGCUCCCCAUUCUCCCAGGUCCCACUUUUCCAGUGUCAGCCAGCAGGGAUGCCCCAUCCUCCCUUCCCCAUGUGUCUCCUAGGCUGAAACUUGUGGCAGAUUGGGACAGGGAUGGUGCUUCCCUCAGGCCCAUUUGGGGAGGGGACUGGCUCCCAGACUGGUGCAGGUCCUCAGCUCUGCCUCGACUGGCUUAGAGUGAGAUGGAUCAGUCAGUUCCCUGAAGGUGAAGAUAAGAGACUGUCCCUGCUGUUGGGAGGCUAGUCUAGGGAUGGAGGACUUAACAGGUCCUCCCAGGCUGUGAGGCCUGGCAGCACUGUCUUGUCUUAGGACUCAGAAAGUCCAGUCCUGAGAUGAGACAGUGCUGCCCAGGGCGGGUGGCUGGGACCUGACAACAUUCCCCCAGUGAUUGACCACAUCACACGUCCAGGGUCCAGUGAGCCUGGCCUCAGACGUGCCCAGUACACUGAAGGUGCACCUGGAGCCCACUCCACCUGAUGCCUCCACAGCCCUCGCAGGGUCUGACCUCCCAGCAUGCACCUGCCUCUCCCUGCACCCCAGCUGUCCACCAUGCCUGUUCCCUGACUUCCUCCAUCCUGUCCAGCGGGAUGGGAUGGACAUGGGGACAGCCUGUGUGCACAUUUCGUGGCGAGUGGGAAUGACACACCAUCUCUGGGAGGCACCAUGGUUCCUGGCAAACCCGAUCCCAAGACUCUGUCCUUGAGGUGGUUUUACCAAAUCCCAAACCCAGAACUGCGGUUGUGGCUCAGGGGUCAGCUCCUGCUAGUGCCAGGACACUACUGGGAGGCUGGGACCCGACCAAAGCCCAUGGUGUUUCUGGCCUGAGAACAAGGUGUCUUGGGACCAUAAGGCCAGGCCACCAAUGGCCAUUGGGUCAUAGGGGCUCAGCCCCAAUCUUUGUCUUUCCCUGGCUCCUUCUGAUUCAGUCCCAUCAGGGCCCUGGAUCCCAAGACUCAGCAUCCAAGGUCCCCUCCAGGAAUCCUGGCAGCUCAGCAUACUUUAUCCUGUUUCAUCUGAGAGCAAAAAUGUAAAAUUGGAUGCACAGAAAAGUGACUCAAAGUGCUUAAUGACUAGAAGAAAUCUAGGAGCAGCAAGAAGGUAAUGUGGAGGGAGGGACCUCCAUGACCGGUGUCUGCAGAGCCAGGGGUACAGGCACCCAGUGCUGUGGCCUGGCACCACCUGCCUCUCAGAGGGUGGGUGGCACACUCCUUAACCAGAGGACAGCAGGCCUGGUCACCAGCUUUUCUACCUGUCCCUGUAAGCAUCACAUUGCUGGAGGAAAAUCUCAUGCCAGAGCUUGGACCAUCCCUAGCUCGGGUUAGGGGUUGUCCCUUGGUGACCUAAAUGAAAAAACAGGUCCAGAACAGAGUUCCUGAUGCUGGACACUCAUUCAGUCUUUGAAUCGUGGGAGGGGAGGCCUGGUACUAGGUAGACCUAACCUCUUUGAGGAACCACAGAGCCCAAGGCUGGAAACCUCCAGAAUCCUCCACCCCCUGAUCCUCCCUGGGGACCCCUGUGGCCUGUCUCACUGAGCACUCUUCCAUCUGUAGAUGUCUGGGCUGCUGUACAAGGGAGUCCCCUUUCAGGUGUGGUGCUAGACAUGGUCACUCCUGCUGGAUGUCUAGGUGGUAGAAACCAAGGACCUAGGGAAAUACCAGCUACAGCCUUUCCCCGCUCAUCCAGAGCAGGACAAACAGGCCAGGCGGUGUCAGGAGCCCAGGUCUCCAGCUGGAGGGAACGUCAACCCUGCGGUGGGAGUAGGGGCCCUUUGCACAUCCUAGGCACAGAUGGUAAUGUAGACACCACAGGUAAGCUGGGCUUGGUACCUACCCCUCCCCGGAUUCAGAAAGAAACCAAACAAGGAGCUUUGUGCGGAAUGAAACCUCCUUUCCUCCCAGAAGCACUGCUGACUGUUUGGUGGUUGCCAUUUGUGGCAGUGAGCCUUUGUUUGUUCUGAGGUUGGGCUGGUUUCUCCUCUUGGUCCUGCCCUACAGAUCAUAAAGGAGAACAGCAAGAGGUCCCCAGCAAACAUCCACAGAUGGCCUUGGAACCUCACCCUGCAGGAAUGCCAGUGAACAUACUGCUGACAUCUUGGAGCUCAGUACCCUCAUAGUGUAACGGCGUCAGUAGAUCUGCCUGUGCUUGGACUUCCUGUACUACCCAUUCCUGAGGGGCGAUGCUUCUGCAGGGCCUGUGACUUGGUGCACAACUUCAGACACCAUCAUCUUGCAGCAGCACCGCACCCUCACUAGCCAGGGUGUUGAUGACUUCCUCAAGGCCAAGGCCACAUUCAAGGCUUCGGACUUUAUUGAUGCGCUUGUGCUGAGCAAGGUGGCUUCUCCAGGAUCUUAAUUCAGGAGGUAGAAUGGAGCUUGAGAUCAAGUGUCUGAUCAAGCCUCAGUGUAUGGGCGCUGUUCAUCCUCUGGUGCUGAAGCAGCCAAGAGACCCAAGUCUGCCUGGCUGCCUCUUAGGAUAUGACAGCAGAGCCAGUGGCCUCUACUAGAUCCUGUACAACCUCACAAAACACCCAGACAUCGGGAGUGCUGCCAGCCUGUGAUGCAAGAGUCCUAAUCCUGAAGACAUUGAAUGACCUGUCAUUCUGCUGUUUUUACCAAAAAGGAUCAUGAGGAUCAGAGAGGAAAAGUCACUUGCCCAAAGUCACACAGCUGAACAGUGGUGGAGUUCAACUUUGACCAUGGGCUGUCUGGCCCCAAGGUGUAUGCUUGCUUCUCUCCCAAGAGACUCCUUUCUUAUCAGGCUCAAAUGAAUGAAAGGAGGAUGUUAAAGUUCCUAGAAGCUUUAAUUGAAUGAAAGUUCCUAGUAGAUCUGUACCUACUAAAAACCACACUUCUGAAGCUACGUGGCCACCAGAAGACACAGCUAGUCUGCCAUGUAAAAAAGGAAAGGUGGCGUGUGCCCUGAAGGCGCAGGGGUGAGAGGCAGGGAAAUGGAGACCCCAACAGCCAGCAUCAGUGGCCCUCAUCACAGCCCUCCAGGAGAUAUCAAAGGAGACAACGCCAUUAUUGACGAGAUCACUCCCAAGCGGAUUGGAGAUUGUCCCAAUACUUAGACCUAUAGCAAGGCCUUGGGAGAAAUGGUGGUGCAGCAGGAGAGCAGGAACCUAACCAUUGCCAUCCUAAGGCCCUCCAUUGUGCGGAGCAACGUCGCACCAGCUUUUCCUGGGUUGGGUUGAUAAUCUAAAUGGAUGUAGCUGACUCAUUAUUGCGGCUGGGAAAGGGUUUCUUCUGUCCAUAAAAGCUACUCCAAUGGCUGUGGGAGACUUAAUUCCAAUUCCAGGUGAUACAGCCGUCAAUCUCCCACUAGCUGUAGGAUGGUGUGUGUGCUGCAGUUCACAGGGCAAAGGAGAUAGAAGUGGAUGAAAUGAGAGAAUUUUCUUUAAUUGAACUCUGGUUAAUGCCAAAAGUGUUCAAUCACUAUGUGUGGGGAAGUUUCCUGGUACAAAGGAAAAAAAAACAGGUUGUUCAUACAUUUGGCUGUGUUAGUAUGUGGUAAACAGAAUUAAAUUUUUUUAUGUGAACUCGUACAUAUGUGCUUCAUAAUAUGUCACUCCUAUUUAACAUCUCUUUCACACACACACAUCCCCCCACCUCCGCACACACCCUUUUGCUAGUCUUCUUCCAUUUUGCUUAUUAACCCAAAGAAAGAAAAAAAUACAGAAGCCUUCUUGCAUAGGUUGCUUUAAUCAGAUGAAUUAUUGAAGCCACUCUGUCUAAAUAUUAUUUUCCCUUAUUUUUCUUUCAUUAGUUUUUCAU